AGGAGCGCAGUGAAUUGAAAGAUUCAUGCUGCGUUCUGAAGCCGAGUCAGAAAGGUGACUUUCUGGCUUAG
rfam:Mastigocoleus testarum BC008 Contig-102, whole genome shotgun sequence.